rnacentral:sRNA from 1 species
UGUGGGCCAACUGAAAACAAACCAACCCCUUCUGUUUAGAGCUGGAAGACAUCUCCAUCAUCUGCUCAAACGGAUAAUCCACUACACAUGCUCUCCUAGAGAUGUUUAUUAAUCUCAGAAAUAACAGGACCAUGGAACAGUAAGACAGAUAGCAAGGGGGUCAUCUUAUCAUUGAGCAAGAAUACAGAUAUAUACAACAGCCCCCCGGAAACCACUGGCAUCUUUACUGGGCUCAUAGUUUUGAUUCUUCGAGGAUGUCAUGUAGCUGGAAUCAGAUAAUGUGCAGCCUUCUUAGCAUGGCUUCUCUUCUUUAGUAAUACACGUCUACAGUUUCCCAUGUGUUUUGUCAAGGCUCAAUAGUUCAUUUAGUUUUAGUGAUGAGCAACACUUCGCUACUUCUCCAGGCAGUGGUAAUCACCCAGAUGUAUUAGCUUGUUUGGUUAUCUACUGAUGGAAGACAGCUUUGAUGAAAGUCCACCUGACAGCUCCUCAGUAAAUCCAGUGUAUUAAUCAGGAAUCGUCUCAAGAAUCACGUUCAGAAACAUCUCAGAGACCUGUGCUUUCUCCUUCAAUGUACCCAGUGCACCAAGAUCACACCUACCUCUGCCAUGGAUUCAGCCUUGUAUCUGCCCCUAUCCUAGCAGCUUUAACAUCCCACUGCAGAUCUUCAAAUAAGCAACCCGGUUUGCUAACAAGGGAGCCAUCAGCAUGACAUCAGCAGGAGGAACAGAGACAAAUUCAACGGGAACACUGCACCAAGGGCAGAGUGGAAGCUGUACUUACCUCACAGAGACUUCCAGGCUCUCAGACAGAUUAAAUUGGAAUAGAACGAGCGCACGUAUUCCUCUAUUUAUUUACUUGGCAGAAGGUGCCUUAUUUUAUAUAGA